GACAGAGGGUGCAAACGUUGUUCGGAAUUACUGGGCGUAAAGGGCGCGUAGGCGGUCGUGACAAGUCACUUGUGAAAUCUCCGGGCUUAACUCGGAACGGUCAAGUGAUACUGUCGGACUAGAGUACAGAAGGGGCAACUGGAAUUCUCGGUGUAGCGGUGAAAUGCGUAGAUAUCGAGAGGAACACCUGCGGCGAAGGCGGGUUGCUGGGCUGAUACUGACGCUGAGGCGCGAAAGCCAGGGGAGCGAACGGG
rnacentral:rRNA from 1 species